rnacentral:rRNA from 1 species
UACAGUGGCGUACGGGUGAGUAACACGUGGGGUAAUCUACCUCUUAGUGAGGAAUAAACCCUGGGAAAACCGGGGCUAAUACCGCAUAAGCCUGAGAAGGGAAAGCAGAAAUGCGCUGAGAGAGGAGCCCGCGGCCGAUUAGCUAGUUGGUGAGGUAAGAGCCCACCAAGGCAGAGAUCGGUAGCCGGCCUGAGAGGGCACACGGCCACACUGGCACUGAAACACGGGCCAG